rnacentral:rRNA from 1 species
GUGAGGAAUUUUCCGCAAUGGGCGAAAGCCUGACGGAGCAAUGCCGCGUGAAGGAUGACGGCCUAUGGGUUGUAAACUUCUUUUCUCAGAAAAGAAUUAUGACGGUAUCUGAGGAAUAAGCAUCGGCUAACUCUGUGCCAGCAGCCGCGGUAAGACAGAGGAUGCAAGCGUUAUCCGGAAUGAUUGGGCGUAAAGCGUCUGUAGGUUGUUUAAAAAGUAUUCUGUCAAAGAUUAGGGCUUAACCCUAGAUAGGCAGAAUAAACUUUUAAGCUAGAGUUUGGUAGAGGCAGAGGGAAUUCCCGGUGGAGCGGUGAAAUGCGUAGAUAUCGGGAGGAACACCAAAGGCGAAGGCACUCUGCUGGGCCAAUACUAACACUGAGAGACGAAAGCGAGGGGAGCAAAUGGGAUUAGAAACCCGUGUAGUCC